UCUAGUCUAAGCCAUAUAAAGUUGUAAGCAAUCAACAUGCACAUACUAAUGCCUGAAACAGUGACAGGUACAAUAAUACAAGUGUCAUCUACCAUACCCCCUUAUAAAAAGGCUAUUACAUUUACCCAAAAAACAAAAAUGAAAAUGGGCAUUACAGAGAACAAAAUAUACUUCUUUUUUUUAUAUUAAAAAGUAAAAACACUGUGCAUCUUUAUCUUCAUACUACCACAAAUAUUUCUCAUUUUAGCAAAUUAGGAUGGUCCAUGGUCCAAGCUGUAGAGUUGGCAGAUGAUAAAGAUGUGGUGUCUGAUGAGUCACAUUGAAGGAUGUCCCUAGUCUUAAUAACUAGUCUUCAUUGCUCAGGUGAACGUACAUAUUAAAGUUUCCACAACUUGACAAACCACCCAAUUUGAAGCACAGAAGGGAAUGCAGAGCUCAUAACUCUCAAAUUGCAAAGGCAUAUAAGAGACACGAUAGUAGUCAGGAAAAAAAUAAAAGCCUAGGGAAAAUUUCAAGAUGAAAGACAAACAAAAUCACCAGGUUCUUUGGGGGAUCACAGACUCACAGAUUGAACAUUA
rnacentral:lncRNA from 1 species